UAGCGGGGUAGGGCAGCUCUGGAGUCUGACUCACCCUGAAGAUGGAACGAUAAGCCCUGGACUGAAAACCACGGAGCUCGGGACCAGAAACCAUAGGCUCUUUAGUGCUCAGAGACUGGCAGGAGAGAACAGGAUGCACAGCAGGGAGCUGGAGAGGUGACACGGAGAUUAAGAGUACACACUACUUCCAGAGAUCCUGAACUUCUUUCUCAGCACCCAGAUCAGGGCAAGAUUCUGUGUCCAGAGCCGACUUACAAAUGGAGAUGCUGUGCUGGGAGUUCACAGUGCGGUGUUCUGUGGCUACCACAGAGGCUGGUUGUCCACAUGAGCAAGUCAACACCCUUACCAACCUGCAGGCUGUCACUCCCUUCCCUCCGUUCUAGCACGAAACCGUGUUCAGAACAAGCCCCAACACCAGGCAAGUCAGAGGUUGUGGAGCAACAAAGUGUGCUGAGAAUCCUAGGAGACUACAAGCUAUUUUAACCCCGAGUCUGGUCAGCUGCUUCUCAGUGUCACAGUCUGAGACAGGAAGACAGCUGUCUCCUCUUUGGUGUGAUCUACAAGUGAUAAAAUCCUAAUUAAAGCCAUUUGAACCACAA